UCAUUGAUAGAGUAUUAUCGGCAGUAAUGAGUUCCUCUUCACCAAUAGGAUUCGAUAAGCAGUCUGUUUAGCGAUAGUGGAGUGGUGAAUGAAAGAAAGCUUGGAAAGAGAAAUGCAGCAGGGACUAGUCACACUCUACAAGCGCUGCAUGGCAUAAAGGUCCUGAUGGAGAAAGAGGGAGUGGGAGGGAGACAAAACUUGCGAGAGGACGAGGGAAAGCCCGUAAUGCUGUAAUGCCCAUUAGUGAGAUUUCACGCACUCUCUCUGAUCUGACUCACUGACAGAAGCCUCUAACAGACAAUAAUGAGAAUGUUUGGCAGGAUUCUGGAUGUGUGUGUGUGUGUGUGUGUGUGUGUGUGUGUGUGUGUUGUUACAUGUGUAAUAUGUACUUACUAAUAUUAUUCAUCAGC
ensembl:lncRNA